CAAGGUUAAACUCAAAUGAAUUACGGGGGCCCGCCAAGCGGUGGAGCAUGUGGUUUAAUUCGAUGCAACGCGAAGCACCUUACCUACUCUUGACAUCCAGAGAAUUAGCAGAGAUGCUUUAGUGCCUUCGGGAACUCUGAGACAGGUGCUGCAUGGCUGUCGUCAGCUCGUGUUGUGAAAUGGUGGGUUAAGUCCCGCAACGAGCGCAACCCUUAUCCUUUGUUGCCAGCACAUUAUGGUGGGAACUCAAAGGAGACUGCCGGUGAUAAACCGGAGGAAGGUGGGGAUGACGUCAAGUCAUCAUGGCCCUUACGAGUAGGGCUACACGCGUGCUACAAUGGCGUAUACAAAGAGAAGCGACCUCGCGAGAGCAAGCGGAACUCAUAAAGUACGUCGUAGUCCGGAUUGGAGUCUGCAACUCGACUCCAUGAAGUCGGAAUCGCUAGUAAUCGUAGAUCAGAAUGCUACGGUGAAUACGUUCCCGGGCCUUGUACACACCGCCCGUCACACCAUGGGAGUGGGUUGCAAAAGAAGUAGGUAGCUUAACCUUCGGGAGGGCGCUUACCACUUUGUGAUUCAUGACUGGGGUGAAGUCGUAACAAGGUAACCA
rnacentral:rRNA from 1 species